CCGGCUAUUGAAAAAGUAGCAGUUUCCAAAAUUCUCAAAACUUUUCUGUUACUAUUAUCCUUUGUGCAAAACCCUCCUGAAGCUUUGUCAAUUCGGAUGUCGAGCUCUUCUUCUCACCAUUUCGCGAUGAACAUAGUCAGCCACACCUCCCACCAUGUGUUGUUCAUCCUCCUUUUUCAGAGCUUCUUGGGCUAGGGUGUGGGCAAGUAGAUUCGCCGAUCUGGAGGGCACUGCUUGAUGAAGUACAGUUUUCGAAGCCAAAGUCCCACCCCCACAUCCUGUACUACCAACCUAGAACCAGAUCUGGACCAAUGACUGUCGAAAGAUGUAUCGAAGUUUAUUUUCAAAUUCGUACUAGGUAGGGGUUUCCAGUGCUCUUCUACAACUAUAUUGAGCACCCAUAAUCCACAGCAGAACAGCCUACACUGCUCACUAGUCCCCGAUUUAAAAACCCAGGUAAGCCAAUCCUAAACACCCUGGUCCAUAUUAUUUAAGAUCCAAGAUAGAUUUAAAAAGUUCCCCACCUCUUUUAUUGUAAGACAGUUUCGAAAAAUAUGGUUCUUAUUCUCCUCUGGCCCGUGACAUCUAGGGUAAGAUACUGCCACUGCGAUUCUCCUGUAUCUGAGAUUAGUUAAUGUAGGAAUGUAAUUCUAGGAAAUCUUCCACACUAUAAUUUUAAUUUUCGGGGGAAUUUUUAGAUUCCAUAAUUUCCUGUAAAAUUCCUUUAGCCCGAUUUGUAUAAAGUUAUUAUUAGAAGCAAAAUUACCCUAUUGUAAUAGUUUAUAGGUGCUUCUAAUUGUAAAUUCUCUGGAAGACUCACCUCUCUAGAUUUGGAUAUUUUCGUGACUGGCCAUCGCCAAGGGAAUCUGUAAAAUUUUCCUUGCGACAUCCACACUAAAGGUAUUGUUAAUUAAA